rnacentral:rRNA from 1 species
UACGAGGGGUGCAAGCGUUGCUCGGAAUUAUUGGGCGUAAAGGGUAGGUAGGUGGUCUCAUUUGUCUGGGGUGAAAGCCUUGAGCUUAACUCAAGAAGUGCCCCAGAAACGGUGAGACUCGAGUCUUGGAGAGGGUCGUGGAAUUCCCGGUGUAGCGGUGAAAUGCGUAGAUAUCGGAAGGAACACCUGUGGCGAAAGCGGCUCACUGGACCAUUACUGACGCUGAUGCACGAAAGCUAGGGGAGCAAACAGG